CCUGCCCCUAGGGGUGUCGCAGGUGUGGCUUCUGUGUCACAUGUGCAUCAGAAGGUGGCAGAGAGAAAAGAGGCUGUGUCUCCACACAGUGUUCUGACCUGUGAGCGUGUAAAUGAUUAGUAAGCUAACAGU
ensembl:snoRNA LOC120103299 small nucleolar RNA SNORA17